AAAUAAGAAUUUUGCUCUGUGUGAAACUGCAUACCUAUUCGUCCAUUUGUUCAGCAAGCACUGAAUGAACUUGUGCUAAGAAGCAGGCGCAGUGCCGUGGGCAAAGGAGACUGAGAUGGAGUCCCUGACCUCAAGGAUUCACUGUCUAACAGAGGAGAAAGACUGGGGAACUUCCAGGUGGAGGUAUCAGCUACGUACCUGGAAAUGUGAGUCUAAAGCGUGGGAGAGUUAUCCGAGCUAAGGAAAACAGACUGGGGGUUGUCCUCAUGCAUCUGUUUUCCUUCAUUACAUGAGUCAUGAAUGCUAAUUGAAGAAGAACUAGAAAAUUCAGAUGUGCGAAAUAAAACAUCACCUGGAAUUCUUCCACCCAUAUUACUGCUGUUAAUAUUUUGUUCUGCUGGUCUCUGCUUGACUCGGAGCAUGACGCCCUCAGGCAGGUAUUCUCCACAUAGUGAAGUCCUAAGCCCUCAUCAUCGCAGCUCACCGACCGAAAACCCCUCUUGUGACUCCAUAACAAUGCUCCCGAGAGAACUCCUACAGUUUCUAACUUUUGAUCUCUGUGCUGUGGCCAGGAACAUGGGGUCCUCAUUGGCCAGAGGUGCAUCACAAGCCCAAAUCUAGGUAGGAGCUGAUGGGGCACUGUGAUUGACAGUUCCACAACAACUACACAGGAUGGUAGGGGGCAAUUUCCGAAUGGAAGGAGGGAUGCACUCUUGAUGCCCCCCCACCGGGACUGUGGGAGGUGCUUUGGGUCAUAAGGAACAGACAGUCACCCUAAAGAACGGUGGGAAUUAUUUGACGAGUUCAGUGCUGGUGGAGUCUCCAUCCUCUGGGCUGCAGGAGAGGCAGGAAUGUAUCUGCCCUCUCAGUCCUCCUCAUUAGCGACUCAGUUACUCUCUGUGGGUCAUCCUCCUCUUCACAAGAUUGAGGUCUCCUACCAUCAGGCUCAGAGAACAGUGAGCAGAGGGAGGUGAUGGAAGGUAAGUUUUAAGGUGAUAGUAGGGAUGGGGAGGGAUUUUGACUUUGAUGCUGAGAGAGAUGGGGAGCCAC
rnacentral:lncRNA from 13 species